UCUAAACGAUCAAAAUCUCGGGAGACAAAAAGAUACUUCAAUGUUCUUUUCCCGUUUUUCUUUGAUAAAAGAAAGAAAAUUAUCUUUUUAGUUGUAAUUUUAGGUGAAGUCGGAGACACAGAGUUAAACAUCGAGUAGACUUCAAUGCCUGCGCUCAACGUAUGGCAACCUUACGUGCGAUCGAAGAAAGAAGUACGCUUAUGAAACAGGAUGGAAUGCGAUUCGAUGAAAGCAUUUGUAAAAUGAGCUGAGUGGAUGAGCAGAUACGAAAGAGUAUUAAUGGACGAGAGAGAAAUCGCCGCUCACAAGCGAACGACGUACUCCAAGCAAUAGCCACACCAGAGAAAGGAGGGAGGAAGGGAUGGAGAAGCUUAAUCAUUUAGACUAUUUGCCCCCGUUGGAGCACGCCAGACCAUCUACAGCCCUUCAGUUCCCAGGCUGUCGGCAAAUUGCGGCUUACCGCGCCGGCACCGGUUUUUAUCCUCGCGCUCACCUCGUCCAGAUCGAUACCAGGAUUGCGAGUCAUGGAGGACGAUUCUCGUCGUGCUUUAUCGAAAUUUUUCAAAUUUAAUGGGACAUAUAUAAAACCGUCAUUUGUAUCGGCAUGACAUAUUUUUAACCCUAUCAUACAUAAUUCACAUAUUCGCAUAUUAAA